AACGAACGCUGGCGGCAUGCCUAACACAUGCAAGUCGAACGAUUGCCUUCGGGUGAUAGUGGCGCACGGGUGCGUAACGCGUGGGAAUCUGCCCUUAGGUUCGGAAUAACAGCUGGAAACGGCUGCUAAUACCGGAUGAUAUCGCGAGAUCAAAGAUUUAUCGCCUGAGGAUGCGCCCGCGUUGGAUUAGGUAGUUGGUGGGGUAAAGGCCUACCGAGCCGACGAUCCAUAGCUGGUCUGAGAGGAUGAUCAGCCACACUGGGACUGAGACACGGCCCAGACUCCUACGGGAGGCAGCAGUGGGGAAUAUUGGACAAUGGGCGCAAGCCUGAUCCAGCAAUGCCGCGUGAGUGAUGAAGGCCCUAGGGUUGUAAAGCUCUUUUACCCGGGAAGAUAAUGACUGUACCGGGAGAAUAAGCCCCGGCUAACUCCGUG
rnacentral:rRNA from 1 species